CCUCCUCCCCCCGCCCCCUCCAAGAGGCAGCCAGGGCUUUAAGGAAAGCACCGGGUACCAGAAGAGUUGUCAUCGCAGCGUGGGGCGGGGUUCAGACCUCAGAGAUCCCGACAUCGACUCCUGGAUCGUCAAUUAAAGAUAUCCAAUGCCAUCUCUUCCAUGAAUCUUUUUUCCUAAUAAUUUAAUGAGGCUGCUGAUUUGUAUCUACCAGGACACUCUGGAGCAAAAGAGAAGGAAGAGCCUGACUGAACAACUGGAGAAACCCUGUAGACCAUACCUGGGCAUUCCUCAACUCUGCCUUCCCUGUGUGGGAUCUCCCAGGCAGGAAAACUGCCCCCACAAGUGGCAUGCUCAAAGCUCUACUCAGCCAGCGACAAAAUUGUACUUGUGCUUGCUACUGCUUUCUGAUUCAGCUAAUGCUUUCCUUCACUUGUAUGGAUGAAUAAUUUUAUCAUAGCAAAAAGCUUCUGCAGUUGAUGCACCUAUUCCAUACCACUGCAUUUGAAGUCAGCUGGGAGGAAAUUGAUGCUUCAAAUUCCCAGAAGCCAAGAGACUGAGGAAAUCAUCUCUGCAUCAGGCGUCUCGUGGGUUGGUGCGCAAAACUCUGGGCUAUUACAUAAAGAGGUGAUGCUUCUUCCCACUGCUUUUAUAAGCUCCUAGCAACUGGAAUUGGGGAUGCUGAGUGGGAAAUGGCACCUCUGUCUUCUAGAAAAGGAUGAUGUAUUGUUUAAGAAGGGCUUAACCUUUACCCUUCUCCUUGGCACCUCCAGCAGCUCCAGAGGCACUUUUCUUAUUUGCUUUUGUGAAUCAUAUCCUGAGGUACCUUGCUUUCCCUGCCCAUUGCACUGGGAAUUUGAGUGCCUAAGUUUUCUUCAUGGAUUACCUAGUGGGGAGAAGUGCCUAAAAGUCAUAACAUACAGCCCUCAGUAUCACAGUAUCUAUGUCCUUCUGUGGGCCAACUUUCCUUCCCCAGCUCCAUGGGAAUUGGGCUCCUAACUUCCCUGUGAACCCAUGAAAAUUCCUGAAAUGCCAUUAAGGUACUUCUUCCCUUACUGGCAUGUAGGAAAGGUCAGUGGAUGAUAGGUGUGCUGCAGACUCACAGAAUCGCUGGGAUUGGAAGACAUCUCUGGAGAUCAUCUACCCCACUCAGAGCAGGGUCAGCUGGAAUAGACUGCUGUGCCACAGUAGCCACAACUGUGUCCAGUAGGGUUUUAAAUAUCUCCGAGGGUGGAGACUCCACAACUUCUCUGGGCAGCCUAUGCCAGUUUAACCACUUUCAUGGUAAAAGAAAGGGGUUUUGUUUAGAACAUCUUCACAUCUGGAACACCACACAGUGUGAGCAGGAGAGGUCCUGCCCCAUGUUGGGAGUAAUCCUUCAUCUGUAGGAGGAUGAGCUACAGUGAGUCAACGUUUUUGGCAAGUAGAGCCACAGCUGAUGCGCUCUGUGGUGAAAGUUGAGAGUCAGCAUUAGUGGGAAACAGGACAGAGAGUAUAGAAGAGAAAUGUGCUGGGUGGAUUGAGAAGCAUUGUCUCCCAUUUCAGUCCUCCAAAUGCUGGACUGCACCAUCUAACUACCCAACACUCAUUUUAUUCCAGGAAGAAAAAAAGUGCCACACUUCCUCCUGCUCCUUAUUCAUUGUUUGCUCUCAGUGGUUAGCAGAGUCCUAGCAUCCAUCCAGUGCAGUUUAUUUCCGUAGACCCCUCUCCAGCACACUGAGAAUUGCAGUCUUCCAGACCUCAGCUCAGCUUUGGUGCCGCAGGUCCCAUGCUCUUACUGGUUUUGUAGGUGCUAGCACAUUACUGAGCUAGAGCAAAUGCUGGAGUAAAAGGGAAGAAAAUGUUUGGAUUUGCACAGUUCAUUCAGCUUUUUUUAUCUUUAUCUUUUUUUAUCUUAGCAUUAGGUUAUAUUGACAGGGAUUAUAUCUAAAUUUCUAUAGCUAUUCUUUUGGAUUCACUCAGAGGGCAGAAAGGAUGCAAUGGAAUAUUAAGCUGUUUCUGUAUGUAAAUCAUCUCUCAGAAAUACAGGUUUGAGCCUCCCCAGUUCAAAUUCAGGUGUGUAUCAUACUCUGAUUUCCCUUUGUGACAGCAGAUAGGAAGGAGCAGCAUUACGAGCUUUAAUUUUGUCACUUACUUUUAUAGUAGCAUUUAUAGCAUAUAUAGCAUUUAUGUCUGAUGUGCAAACUGGGCCAUUGCCCUAAAUAGAUUACUUGCUAAAACUUUCUUAUAGGUGCCGCCAAGAAACUUUAAACAAAUAGACAAGUCUUCAGACUCACCAUCAGAGACAAAGUCUGCUAUCAGAGGCAUGAGCAUAAGGGCUCAGCUGGAGUCUCCCUGUGUGUCAGCCGCAUAAACUGGUAAAAAUGUAUUUUUAUUUAGGUACAUCCAUUUAGCCCUGAUGUUGCCCAGCAAUUCCCUUGAUUAUAAGCUACUGCCUGCUUCAAAAAGCAAAAAGGUGGUUCUUGCUUUUUGCAAAUGGACUGGGAGGAGACUUGCAAAUGGGUGGAGACUGAGGAGCUUUCCUAAUUACAGCCAUAGCUGCAGUUCUUGCAGCUGCAAUCCAGAUGGGUAUCAAGGAAAAUGACUUCCAAUGUCAGAGCUCACGCUCGUGUGUUGGCUUCACAUGUACAAAUGCCGGUUUCCUUGACUUUUCCUGAUUUUGUUUGAAUUGGAGCUAGGAAUGGCCAUCUUCUAGUAACAAAACCAGGCAAAUUAGCAUCAGUGGUUACUGUGCAAAUAUUGUCAGCUGAGCAGACAACAUGCCAAGCCACUGUGAAGUUCAUAACAGUAUGUUAAAAAAAAAAAAUCCCUACAACAUAUCUCCUACAUAAGAUUUCCUAUGAUUAGCUACAGCAAAAUGUAGCCGAAAACUUUGCAUUUCUUUUCUUAUGUAACAUUUUGAAAGACAGAAAGAAAUAGCUUAAAGUUUAGUCUAAUUGAUUUAAACAUCCUUUUAUUCAAGAUUAAUAAAAUAUGGACGUGAACACGCAAGAAGAUCCUUUAAGUAAAUAUUGGGGAAAUAAAAAAAGGAACUAUACUUAUAUGAAGUAUGUUACCUGAAGCAAUUACACAGCCUUUGAUGAUAUAUACUGUCAUCAAAGUCAGCUGUUUCCUGCUUUCCAGUAGUGUUUGGCAACUUAGUGACUUCGUUUCCAGUGAAAUAGUAGUGAGCAUAUGAAUUUUUAGGAAGGUUUUCCUCAGCUAACAUUGCAAAAAUUAUACGUAAUAUACCUAGUUCAAUACUGCGUUACACUGCUUUCCGUGGAGUAUUGCUUUUCAAGCCAUAUUCCCAUCUGACUAAUAUACGGAGACCUAUAUGAAAGUAUUCCCACAGCUAAAUAGCAGGUGUUUGAUAUAUACAUAUGUAUUUUUUUCCAGAAUCUAAACCUGCAAUUAGUGCAAGGAAAAGAUGGUUUAUGACCAAGAACAGCAAAGAGGGUGUUCCCUGGCACUUCACACUAAAUAUCAGUAUAUGUAUCUUCCAUUAAGUAAGAUUAUUGCAGUCAUUUCUGUUGUCCAUGCACAUCAGGAUAUCUAUCCAUGGGCUACCUGAAAAGCCCAUGGUCCACAAAAGCCAACUAAGAAAUACAAGGCAGUAUCUGUAAACAAGGAUCCCAAAAGCAAAAACAGGUUAAAAACAGUGCCACAUAUUACUAAGAGGCCUCUAAAUGGAUGGAAACACAUUGUGGAGUCAAAAGUUCUGUGUUGGGGAACAGGCAGUCAGACAGGGAGAAAGAUAGGAAAGCAUUUUAUAGGAUUACCUCUACACCAUCAUCAAAAGUGUGAAUUCCUGGGAAUCUAGAGUGCACAGCAUUGGUCUUACUAUCUAGGAAUAGCAUAAAUAAAUUUUGAAAAGCUUAACAAAAGCUAGUUAUGCAAACAUUUCCAAACAACUGUUCCUUUAUGCCAAAUGACAUAGGCAAUUUUCUAGCUCAGUUACAGUUUUGAGGAAAUCUUUCUCCCCACUGGCAUGCUACAUGCAAAGGAUACUCUGAUUAUUGUUUGUUCCUGUUAGGCAUCUGAAAUAUUACAGUGCAGCUCCCAGGGAGGUUUGGACAGGCCAGAGGUGCAGCCCUGGGUUUCCUGCUGCGCUCUCGAUUUCUUCUUCACUUGUGAUUCUGAAAUGUAAGAGGAAUGCAAAAAGCCAUUUUUUGCCCCCAGAUCCUUAUGUGAUCUUAGAUACAGCCUUCAAAGAUCUAUGGCAGUGUGGCUGCAGCACAGAGGCAGGAAUGAGAUUUAUGGGGAAAAGUUCUAAGGAUAUCAUGAAGCAGUCGUCUCUGCAGCAGUCUGAAUGGGAUCCAGUUCUUGAGAGCCCCAUCCUGAGUGUUGCUUCUCCUGAACUGGAGACUAAUUUGCUUUGCUUUUAUGUGCUCAUUUUCUUCUGGGGCUUCAUCCAGAGCUCAGACUAUCUGGCUGUAAUUCAUAGACUCAAUACUUUAUAGCACUUGAUUCUUCUCAUUACUUCUGCAGGGCUCUUGAUCCUUGAUUUAAGAAUUAGAUCCUACUGCAGACUGUCUGGAUGAAGGACCUUUAAACUUGGCCCAUUGGAAUGUAGAGGGUCUGUAGAAAUUUUUGCAAGCAGACCCAUCAGCAAACUAGCAAACUGGAAUUUGCCAUGUCAUGUCCAGCCACCCUGCCUGUGUGGUGGCAGGCCAGGGACAGAGAGGACAGCUGUGCCGAUGACUGCUUGAAUUAGACCCAGCUGCAUCCCCAUGCAGACAUGAAUCAGAGUCCUAAUGCUAUGUCUUGGUGACGUAAAUUGCUUCCCAGCCCACAUGAUACACACCUUGCUCUCUCACCUACACAUGCAGGUUUAAGUGCUCAAUAAGAUUCUCUAAUGGCCUUGACCAUUACCUGGACCUCACACACUAAUGUUUUCCUUCUUUCCUGAGAAGUUAAAAAAAAAAAAAAAAAAAAAAAAAAAAAGGCCUAAUCAGAGAGGAUCCAUGAUUGUGGCCUUUUUUUUUUCCUUUCCUUCCCUUAUCAUCCUUUCAGAAGCCCAGCAGAAGGCUACUGGGGCUCUUGAAAAACUUUCACUCCACUGCCAACGCAAGACUUCCUCAGAGUCUUUCUCAGUACUUUUCUUAUAUAAAUGGCUGUUUGAGGCAGUAACUUAUUAGGUGCAUGUCUAUGACACUCCAAGUCCUCUGUAAAAUGGAUGCUAACAAAUAAUCUGUUUGCUGCCAGAACAACUAGGAAACUCCUCCCUCCUGCUCUCUUUGUUUUUAGGUAGGCCAGAUAUCCUGAGGUCAGCUGUGAGCCCUAGAAAUAAAUUAUUGUAAGUGAUAUGUGAGAUACAGACAAAGUCAUGCCACUGCAGGUCAUUUUGUGUUAGCCAAAGCUGCUCAAACAGUGCACUGUAUAGCUAGAACCUCAGCAAAAUCCAGCAUGGAAUGUGAAAAUGAAAGGAAAAGCAAGUUGUGGGGGGCUUGCCAAAUAGCUGAUUGAUUCAACCUGAAAGGAAACAUACUGCAUUGGAGCUGGAUACGGGAAACAUCGCACAGGUAUGCAUACAGGUAUAUACCCAGGCAGGUGGCUAUAGUGCCUUAGCAUGCACAGCAAAGGGAGAAGGAUGGCAUUCAGAAUCCUUCCCCUAUGCUCAAAAAAGCAUCACUGCCUCUGCCUCAACGCCAUCCUGCCCGUUCUUGCUCACUCAGAAACCACGGUGCUAAGAUGCUUCUUCCCAGCUCGUAUCCUAAUGCAAUAAUGCCCAUCUAAGCGUUGUUGCUUGUGGUAUAGGUCAGUGCUGCUCUCUGCUCAGACCAUUCCUUCACUUUUCCUUCCUGCCGUUGGCUAGACACAAAAUUCAGCCCACAAACAAAUUAACCUGUCCCAUGCAUCUAUAAAGAUGAUUCCCAGUUAAUUAAAGAAUGGUACACAGAAGUCCCUGGCUUGUAUUAAGAAAAUAUUGAAUGGCUGUAAAAUCAAGCACUUAAAAUUAUAGAAAUUCAGAAUUCUCCCUGCGACAUAGAUGAAGGGCUUGAAGAUUUUGGUUUGGCUUUUUUGGGUGCAUAUAAUUAUGCACAAUAGUGUAGUUUUUAUUGACACAAACACAUGACUUUUCAUAAGCUUAGCUUUUACAAAGGAGGGCAAACAAAGCUGAAAUGUGCCUUCCUCCCCACUCAGUGUCCUUGCACGAGAGGCAGUCCUUGAGCGACCUCUCAGCUUCUAUAUGUAAUGACGUAGUGCCCUCUGUUGGGAAGCUGUUCCCGACACUGUCUUCUCCCUGCAGUCAGGUGAAGUAGCAUUAACACAAAUAUCAUACUUUCAGACAUGCUCCCAUAUAUUGAUGAAGCAGGUUUAAAUUUUUUUCCUCCUUAGGCACCGCAGAUAUUUUUUGUUAGGUUUGAGCAAGCAGUUGCACUGGACUACUAUUAAGGCUUUCUGUGAGAGUGUCAGGAAAGACCUACCAUUUUAUUAUAGUUUCAGCCUUUUAAAAAUAAAGCCUCAGUGAUUUUAGCCACAGAAGAAAGUUAGAGACCCUUGUUUGGCUGGGUGCACAUGAGUCACACUGCUUCACAUCAGCAGCAAGAUGUGUGGGGCUACAGACUGGCUGCUUGCUCUGUGUGUUUGGACAGGAUGAUUAGGUUUAGCCUAAAGAAACUGUCUUUAAGAGAGGUUGUUGGGCAGAGGAAGCAAAUCCUACUGCCUGGAAUACCCUCUCCUGUAGCACAAUGGUUUAUUUUUAUCAUUCCUGGCAAGAAGAAAAAAAAAAACAUUCUCCCCCGGGCUUUACCUGAUCCCUCUUCCUCACUUACCCCACCAAAGUAGGGCCAAGGUUGGCAAUUUGUCUCCCACCCUGUCCCACCAUCCUCAGCAUCCAAUCCUCAUCAUACAUCAAUGAAUCCUCACCCUGCUCCAAACAGUGGAAUGAGAUUAAUGCUAUACUUAUCCAAAACAUCUGCACUGUGUUGGCCCAGCUUUGGCGGGAUCUACCUUGAGAGCACAGUGCUGGCACAGACACCUUCUGUGGGACCAAACCCUUGCUAUAACCCAGCUGUCACCCAGUGUUUGAUCCUUAAUAUCAGUGGCCUUUUUAGGCCUUGAAAAUAUAUAUUAUUUUCUGGCUCAUGGUAGCGAAAGACCAAAACCCAUCUAUGCCACCCAUGCUGGCUUUCCUGAAAGCCCCAGAUUUAAUAUUAAUCCUUUAAUAGUCCAUAUGUUUAGUAAUUGAAAAGUCAGAGCAUGUUACUGAAAUCACCUCCACAAAGUUGGCCCAACAUACUAUCAUCCUUAAAGCUGCCAGGGACAACUUUGUAGAAGCCAGUUCAGGCGACCCAUCAUCUCCUAUUUUAUCAGCUUCUAGCUUAGUCCAUAGAUUUCAUCCAACUCAAGCUCCUAAUGACAGUCAGUCCCUUAUAGACAGUAAGAUGUGCUUCUCCACAGUAUUACCAAUCCUAAAUCUCCCAGGACGUGUUCUGACAAUUAGUUUUAAGGGAAGGAUGGGGGAAGUCCUUUAGUUCUGCUAGAUAAAUACAUUAUUUUGGGCCAUGACAAUUCCAGCAUUAGAGCAAUCAAUGGUGAUGCUGUGAUAUGGAUAUAGUACAUUCAUUCCUUUAUGUUCCUUCUUCUUAUCUCUAGCCUAGCAUUUUAUACCAUCAGAGGAUUCCCAGUGCCUCUCACCUGAAUACCUCAGUAUGCAAAAUGAAACCUUUCCCAUAUGAUGGGUGUUACAGAAUAGUAGUUGGUGAGUUGUCAAAGUAGAGCUCUCAGAAGUGAGCUUUCAGAGAAAUAAAACCAUCCACACAGUGGUGGGUAUCAUUUGUCUGGAGCUAUGAUGCUAUUGAUGGGAAGGCAGACUGAAGUGGGAUUGUUUCAUAUAAGCAAAGGCACAGUUUUCAUGAAGCAAGCUUUUGUCCUUAAGUCACAAAAGGGGCCUUUAUGUGAUUCUCACUAUGUGAUAUUUUUAGUUUUCUUUGCAUUUAAUUAAGAAUGGCAGAAGAAUAAUACUGCAAGUAAAACAUAAAAGCAGAAUGAACUUAUAAAAAGAGUGAUUUUUCUACCUUAUGGGGAAAAAAUAAUUAAAAAACAAACAAACAAACAAACAAAAACCACACUUGGUACAUUACAUUCAAGGCUUAGAUUGUAAACUGGUAGAGGCCACAUCAGUGUCCCAUGCUUGUCAUGCAUUUAUCUCAGUGAAGAGUCUCUUCUGAAGUUAUCACAUCACCUGGGAUGGAUGAAUUGCAUUCCCCAAACCAUCAAAGAGCAAAAAGAAAUGAAGAAAAAAUUGUUCUAAGGUUAGCUUGUCACAAUGGUAAGUUGGUGGAUAAGAGAUCUAAAUAUUUUAUUUCUGUCAAGGGACAAAAGGUGAGGUAAACAAACUGUAAAGUAUUGCAUGGUCUUGGAUUUGAAGUACUUAGCAGCUGCAGCUUACAAUGUCUAACAUGGUGCAAAUAAUGAUUUAUAAUAAUUCUAGAAUAUGUCAUGCUUCCUCAGAACAGAACAAGGAUAAAUUUGCCUUCUUUCUGUUUUGGACAAGUGAUCCAGAUGACCAAGUUAAAUACCAACCCAGUGCCCAAAUACUCCCUUAAUACCCAAAGAUCUCAACAUGGCUGAUACCCUGCUUUGCGGUUCUGACUCCACACAACUGUCUGCUUUUUUACCUCUUUUCUCUCUCAACACAUCAAGGUUCUCCAUUUCUUGGAUCUCCUCCUCUGUCAAUUAGUGAUUCUCACAAAACCAAAAUGAUCUCAUAAAGCCCAUCAUCUUAGUAAGGCACUCCACCUCCAGCCAUUGUUACCCCACUGUAACGAAGCAAUAUCAGAUUGUUGUCUGUAGUGUUUGGGGUUGUGCCUCAUAUUCCCUGCAAGAUCCCCCAGAGCUGCUUGGAGUUUUUUCCUUUUAUCCCAUCUCUGGUGCACGAGUCAAGGCCUGUCCUGCAGGACUUGCAGCUCAACUGCUGAUUUCUUGCUGAAGUGGGUUUGCUAAUGCUGAGUGAGUGAUGAAUCCUUGCUCCAGCUCUUCCCACAGGGAGCACAGAAGUAGGUUGAACCAGCUGAUGUUAAGUCAAGUCAGAAUUCCCGUCAAAAAGGCACAUCUUCUAAGGGAUUUUUGUCCCAUCUGGUUUCCCUGUUGAUGAAUGUAAAGGUCAAAAUGUGUUAAUUUACAUACAAAUUCUUAGAUGAUAGUUCUCCUUAUAGUCAUCUGGGGUAACCUCAUCAUCAGCUGGAAUAGAGGCCAAAAACCCACCACUAACAAAAAACAUUAGAUACAAUUCCUUCCCCAAACAGACAAACACCACAUGAAGAAACAGCAUUUAUGAGAGUGAAAGCCAUGAAUUGGUUCUUCAGCUGAGAGGGUCUGGGCUAUAAGACUGACAGAAGCAAGCAGAGAGCUUGUGGGCUGGAAUUCAUGAGUUUUCAUCUUCCAAUGAGUUUCCAUCUUGCAAAGGUAUGAUGUCCUCAUUAGAUAUUAUCUGUAUGUGGCUUUGAACAUUCAAAGUUCUCUUUCAGUGUUUAAUAUGGUCAAUCCUCAAAUGCCUCUAAGUAGCUUAUCCAGUCUGUGGAUGCUCUGUCCCUGAUGUGCAGAGGUACCAGAGCUGACUCUGAGAAGGCCCAUCUUGUCCUGAUGGGGAUUAUGAUCAGGAAUAUGUCUAGACUAUUUCAGACUCAUCUUGAGUCUAGAAGAGCCCAAGCUGAUGUGCCCUCAUGAAGCCCGAAGUUUUAUGUAUGGCUGCAGAUGCACCAGAAUGGUUGCCCACAGAGUUAUCUCAGACUCAGAAAGGCUUAUAAGCUGUGGUUUAGCAUGGACAGUGCUGACCUUUUGCUGGUCCUGUGGAUGGAGGCUUGCAGUGCAACUCACACCACACUGCCCCGUAUUCCCUUCUCCCAGAGGAUCUUUUAUGCUGUAUUGCAACAGAUCUUUACAAAGCCUAUUUCCCAUCAGAAGUAAUGGUUUGGCAGCAUUGGGGUAGUUUACAUUUUUCUGUGUAGGAUAGACAGAGAAACACCUCCUAGCAUCAGCAGCCAGGGACCGCCAACAACCUACCCAGUCAGCAUAUAGCCCUAACCAACUGUAUCAUCAUUAGCAAGUUGGCUAGCCAAGCUUAUUGGAGUUAUUAGUAGUGGGAAUAUUUGGUGGUGAAAGGCCAGACUGAACUCAGCAUCUGGUUAGAUGCUUCAAGUUAGAUACUGAGGUAGCAGCUCCAGAACACCUCCUUAACACCUCUCUGUGUAUUUAUUUGUAUUGAAGUUAAGAUGUCCUGAUGGGCUUAAUAUA